CUGGGGGUCAGGUGGUUAGGUAACAGCAGCCCCUCAACACAGUGGGGGUUCCCUGGGGCGGGUGGUUAGGUAACAGCAGCCUCUCAACAUAGUGGGGGUUCCCUGGGGGGCAGACAGUUAGGUAACAGCAGCCCCUCAACAUGAGGUUCCAGUGCAGAUGAAGCAGAGCAGGCAUCGGGGAGGAAGAAACAGGGACCCUCGCGUGCACACGCACUGCUGUUUUAAGGGCUCCUGGAGACCGGGUGACGUGGAAUCACCUGCAGUCACACAGUCAGGGACCCUCGCGCACACACGCACUGCUGUUUUAACAGCUCUUAUAGACAGGGUGACAUGGAGUCACCUGCAGUCACACAGUCACCUUCAGCACCUUCCACACUCCCUGAGCGCUCUAGAGGCUCCAGCCUCUAUGGCCGACACUGUCAUUAAUUUCCCACUUAAUCCCAACUGUAAUCCUGGAAAACUGGCAUUAACUUUGUUUUACAGAGGGGGAAACUGAGGCAUGAGGGGGUAAGUGAUCAGCAAGAAGUUGGUGGGGACCACCGUGCCAGCUCCGGCUCGGCCCUCCACACCCUCCCAGCACAUACCCACCCUGUCAUGGGGAACCCGGGGGCAGGUGUCACCGUCCCCAUUCUCCCCAUUUCACAACUGAGUAAUCCCAGGGCCCCAGGAGGGAGUUCCCACCCCCGAGGCCGCCCCGCCCAGGUGUGCUGACAGACCAGGCAGGGAUGGCACCCAACUGGCCCCAGGCUGUGCAACCAAAAUGAGGGAGGAACGGUGGGGUCUGUGCCCCAUCACCGUGGGAGCAUGCAGACGGCACCACGGGCGGUCUGAUGGAAAAGCCAGGGCUGGAAAUACCGUCACAGACUCGGGACUGGCACCUCCCCGCCUGUCAUGCAUCCCCUCUCCCUGCCAGGUGGCAGCAGGCAGCCCGUUGCGAUGGGGAGUAAGAAGAGUGGGGUCCCCCGGGGCGGGGGUUUAGGAAACACAACCAAGGCCGCAGCAUGCAGUGGCAUCCCAGGGCUCAGCCGAGCCAGCCGCGAAAACAGCUUCCACACUGCCCAGCCAGAUUUUCUUUGACCACAGAACCCUCUUUUUUUUUUUUUUGUUUUUGCCCAAUGAAACAUCUGUAGCAUCACAUUUGGGAGAAGUCUAAUCUAGAAGAGGCCCCCUCAAUCUGACAUGUGGGUAAUCUGUGGCCCAGGGAGGGGAAGGGUUUGCCCCAAAUCACACAGAGACUUGGACAGGAGCCCCGGGCCCACUCCCACUCCUGCCCCUCCUACGGCUCAGCCCGUCAGGUUUUCCCAGGCUGAGAGGCACUGGGUCUGACAUCCAGUGAGAGCAAAUGCUCUCCUAGGAAAGGGCUCUCCCUCCCUUCCCACACCAGGCCCAGUGUGGACAGACUUCCUGUGGCCAAGGGCAGGGACCCAGGGGGCCGAGGACAAGAUCUGGGCUGGGGCACAACUGGCCCCAAACCCACCAUCCCUGGCCAGUCCUG
rnacentral:lncRNA from 1 species